rnacentral:rRNA from 1 species
GACGAACGCUGGCGGCGUGCUUAACACAUGCAAGUCGAACGGCAAGGCCCUGCUUUUGUGGGGUGCUCGAUUGGCGAACGGGUGAGUAACACGUGAGUAACCUGCCCUUGACUUUGGGAUAACUUCAGGAAACUGGGGCUAAUCUCGGAUAGGAGCCCCUGCUGCAUGGAGGGGGUUGGAACGUUUCGGCGGUUGGGGAUGGACUCGCGGGUUAUCAGCUUGUUGGUGGGGGAGUGGCUUACCAAGGCUUUGACGGGUAGCCGGCCUGAGAGGGUGAACGGCGACAUUAGGACUAAGGUACGGACCAGACUCCAACAGUGGGCAGCAGUGGGGAGUAUUGCACAAUGGGCGGGAGCCUGAUACAACGACGCCGCGUGCGGGAUGACGGCCUUCGGGUUGUAAACCGCUUUCGCCUGUGACGAAGCGUGAGUGACGGUAAUGAGUAAAGAAGCACCGGCUAACUACGUG